UUUCCGUAGGUGAACCUGCGGAAGGAUCAUUAACUAGUACAACAGAUUACAUAUGCAAAUAUGAAAAUCUACUACUAUAUACCAUUCCGAGUAUUCUUUGUCCAUGUUGCUUCCGCGAGGCAGUCAAUUCAAGUGGCCGUUUGCUCCGAAUCUUCCUUCUUGGAGAGCCGGCUGGGGACGAGAUUUCCUUGCGAAAGGUCAAUUACAACUCCAAUUAUGUUUUUAUUUUGUGUCUGAAUAGAUUUUUUUUUUCUUUCUUUUUUUAAUUAAUAAAUACAAAAAAAAUAAAAUAAAAUACAAAACUUUCAACAACGGAUCUCUUGGUUCUC
rnacentral:misc_RNA from 1 species